UAGCAUAAUUUCUUUCUAUAAUCAUUCUAGAAAAGUUCAGUGUGGCAUGAGCACGUCUCCAGCUAACGUCUUUGAAACAGCUGCAGCAGAGAUCAAAAAGGUCAGUUUCUCACUUGGAGCAAACAAGGAGGUUCAAUGCAUAUUUCAGGUUUAUUUACUCACCCUCAACUAGUUCAUCAAGGUCCUUAUUUAUGGAUCAUUGAGAUAAACUGAGAGCAGCUCUUAUUUACUGAUCUUGCCACAUUCUGAAUCAAACUAAAUAUUUGUCUUUGAUUAGAGUUGCUUCUGUGAUGCUCAGGGACGAUUCAUGCUGCAUAUCUUGAAAAAUAAAAGUGGUAUUGGUAAUGAUUGAAGAAUAAUGCACUGACAUAAGUGAAUAGUGUUUGCUUCCUGUGGUGAGAAGCUUUCUAAUGUCCAUUCAUUUUUCUCCCUGAAGCAAAUUCCAUGACUGGUAAUAUCGAGCAUAUUAUAUUUUAUAAGAUGUUAAUUUCUCUGGAUGAGGAAAAUAUAAAUAAAUGAUAGAACUUAAAUAAAACUCUGGCCAUUUUCAUUGCUAGUAAAAUUAGAUUAGUUAAUUAUCCACCUUUAACAUUGUAUAUUAAAAGUGGCUGUUUGGAGAUACUGCAGGGAAAUGGGCCUUUGGCCCAUUGAGUAUGCUCCGAUCAACAAGCAUCCAAUUACAAUAAUCCUUCAUUCUUCAUACAACCUUAUCAAUUCCCUCCCCCCCCCCACCUCAAGAUUCCACGACUCAUUUACAACAAGGGCAACUUACACUUAGAGACCACUUUAUUAGGUACACCUGCUCGUAAAUGCAAAUAUCUGAACAGUCAAUCAUGUGGCAGCAACUCAAUGCAUAAGAGCAUGCAGGCAUGGACAAGAAGUUGAGUUGUUGUUCAGAUAAACCAUCAGAAUGGGGAAGAAAUGUGGUCUAAAUGACUCGGACCAUGGAAUGUUUGUUGGUGCUAGACGGGGUGGUUUGAAUACCUUGUAAACUGCUGAUCUAGAAUUUUCACACACAAUAGUCACUCGCGUUUACAGAGAACAGUGUGAUAAACAGAAGAAAAAUCCAGUGAGCAGCAGCUCUCUUGUUGAAAAUGUCUUGUUACUAAGAGAGAUCAGAGGAGAAUGGCCAGGCUGGAUUGGACUGAAAGGAAGGCAACAGUAGCUCACAUAACCAUGUGUUACAACAGUGGUGUGCAGAAGAACAUUUCUGAAUGCACAACAUGUGAAAUCUCAGCGUGGAUGGGCUACAGCAGGAGAUCAUCACAAAAAUACACUCAGUGUCCACUUUAUUAGGCACAAGAGUACUGAGAAGGUUUUGCUCAAAUAUUACAAACGUUGCUGUAAAAUGAUCUUUAUAAAUUAAAUGUACAUUAACUAUCACGUUUGCUGAAGCUUUCUCCCACAAACAAAUCAUCAUCCAACUUGAUUGUUCAGCAUGAAUCUUAAUAAAGGACACUAAUUUGGAUCAUUUGCUUAAUUUACUGUUUAUCAUCAUUUUAAAACUAUUUCCUUUGUAUCAGUCAGCAGCUUAUUAUUCUAAACAGGAGAAUUCUGCAGAUGCUGGAAGUCCAAAGCAACAUACUCAAAAUGCAGGAGAAACGCAGCAGACACUGGAUUGACAAUUUGUGUCCUCACAAACUCAUCCAAUUGAGAUUGAAUUCUCAGUGCAUACAAAAUAUGGAUAAACCUAGCCCGCUGUGGUGGACAGCACCAAAGAAAACUGUUGAUAUUCCUUUGCAUCUUGUUACAGGCUCCAUUAUGUUCUAUGGCAUGGAAGAGAGAUGCAUCUGAGGACCAAAUUCUUAAGAGCAGUGAUGGCAGAAUGAGAGUGGAGAAGCUGGGAAUCUGCAAAGGUUGACAGCUGGCUGACGUUAUUUUUGGUUUGCUGCUGGCGGCAAAUUUAAGUUUGGCGUUUUUCAUAAAUACAAGAAGGACUCAAAUAGACGUUGAGUAUUUUACUUAAAAGUAACCUUCAACCCAACGUCUUUUUUUUCGGAGGUCAAAAUGUUUUUGUUGCAUGCAGAAAUGUAAUUUCGUUUUCUCUGCAGGAGUUCAUCAAUUUCAUAAAUGCAACACAUUAUAGUUUGUUUAUACAUAGCAUAAAGGCAAAACAAAACGUUGUAUGCAGUGUUAUUUCAUUUUAAAUGUCAAACGGGUUUUGCGGCUCCCAGUGUUUUCUUUUCUGUGGGAAACGGGUCCAAGUGGCUCUUUCAGUGGUAAAGGUUGCUGACCCCUGAUCUAGGCCUUUCAAUAUUCAAUAGGUUUCAAUGAGAUCCCCUUUAUUUUUUCUAAACUCCAGCGAGCACAGGCCCAGAACUAUCAAAUGCUCAUCAUGUGUACACCCUUUCAUUCCCAGGAUCACUCUCAUGAGCCUCCUUUGGAUUCUCUCCAACGCUAGAAGAUCCUUUCAUAGAUAAGGGGCUCAAAAACUGCUCACGAUAUUCCAAGUGUGGCCUGAACAAUGCCUUAUAUACCCUUGGCAUUACAUCUUUG